rnacentral:rRNA from 1 species
ACCACCCUGAACAUACCUGAUCUCAUCUGAUCUCAGAAGCUAAGCAGGGUCGGGCCUCGUUAGUACUUGGAUGGGAGA